UAUGAUCCAGAGUACCACGGGACACGUGAAACCCUGUGGGAAGCAGGAGGGACCACCCUCCAAGGCUAAAUACUACCUAGUGACCGAUAGCGUAUAGUACCGUGAGGGAAAGGUGAAAAGAACCCCGGGAGGGGAGUGAAAUAGAACCUGAAACCCUGCACUUACAAGCUGUGGAAGCACAUUUCUUGUGUGACCGCGUACUUUUUGUAGAACGGGCCAACGAGUUACGUUAAGUAGCAAGGUUAAGCACUUAAGGUGCGGAGCCGUAGCGAAAGCGAGUUUUAACUGAGCGUUCAGUUACUUGACGUAGACCCGAAACCGGGCGACCUACCCAUGAGCAGGAUGAAGCGAAAGUAAAAUUUCGUGGAGGUCCGAACCCACGAGCGUUGAAAAGCUCGGGGAUGACUUGUGGGUAGCGGUGAAAUUCCAAUCGAGCCCGGAGAUAGCUGGUUCUCCCCGAAAUAGCUUUAGGGCUAGCCUCAAGGUGAGAGAUACGGAGGUAGAGCACUGAAUGUCCUAGGGGGUAUUGCACCUACCGAAGACUAUCAAACUCCGAAUGCCGUCAUCUUAUACUUGGGAGUCAGACUGUGGGUGAUAAGAUUCAUAGUCGAAAGGGCAACAGCCCAGAUCGUCAGCUAAGGUCCCUAAAUGUAAGUUAAGUGGUAAAGGAUGUGGGAUUGCACAGACAACCAGGAUGUUGGCUUAGAAGCAGCCACUCAUUCAAAGAGUGCGUAAUAGCUCACUGGUCGAGUGAUCCUGCGCCGAAGAUUUCCGGGGCUAAAACUUACUACCGAAGCUACGGCAUCAGUAAUGAUGGGUAGGGGAGCUUCCCAUACGGGUUGAAGCAUGACCGUAAGGACAUGUGGACAGUAUGGGAGUGAGAAUGUUGGCAUGAGUAGCGAGAUGUGGGUGAGAAUCCCACAGGCCGUAAACCCAAGGUUUCCAGGGGAAGGUUCGUCCGCCCUGGGUUAGUCGGGACCUAAGCUGAGGCCGAAAGGCGUAGGUGAUGGACAACAGGUUGAUAUUCCUGUACUACCGAUAACCGUUUGAGAGAAGGGAUGACACAGUAGGAUAAGCUAAGCACACUGUUGGUUAUGUGUGCCCAAGCAUUGAGGCAGUCAAAGUAGGCAAAUCCGCUUUGAUAAUGCUGGGAUGUGAUGGGGAGCGAAAUUUAGUAGCGAAGUAGCUGAUUUCACACUGUCAAGAAAAGUCUCUAUCGAGGUUAAAGGUACCCGUACCGCAAACCGACACAGGUGGGUGAGGAGAGUAUCCUAAGGCCAGCGAGAGAACUGUUGUUAAGGAACUCGGCAAAAUGACCCCGUAACUUAGGGAUAAGGGGUGCCACCAUCAGGUGGCCGCAGAGAAUAGGCCCAAGCGACUGUUUACCAAAAACAUAGGUUUCUGCUAAGUCGCAAGACGAUGUAUAGGAGCUGACGCCUGCCCGGUGCUGGAAGGUUAAGGGGAUCUGUUAGAGCAAUCGAAGCAGUGAACUUAAGCCCCAGUAAACGGCGGCCGUAACUAUAACGGUCCUAAGGUAGCGAAAUUCCUUGUCGGGUAAGUUCCGACCCGCACGAAAGGCGUAACGAUUUGGGCACUGUCUCAACAACAGACUCGGUGAAAUUGUAAUUCCGGUGAAGAUGCCGGAUACCUGCGACAGGACGGAAAGACCCCAUGGAGCUUUACUGUAGCUUGACAUUGGGUCUUGGUACUACAUGUACAGGAUAGGUGGGAGGCUUUGAAACCAGGACGCCAGUUUUGGCGGAGCCAUCCUUGGGAUACCACCCUUGUAGUACUGGGACUCUAACCAUAGGCCAUGAAUCUGGUCUUGGGACACUGUCAGGUGGGCAGUUUGACUGGGGCGGUCGCCUCCCAAAAGGUAACGGAGGCGCUCAAAGGUUCUCUCAGUACGGUCGGAAAUCGUACGUAGAGUGUAAAGGCAAAAGAGAGCUUGAUUGCAAGACAUACAGGUCGAGCAAGGAUGAAAAUCGGACUUAGUGAUCCGGUGGUUCUGCGUGGAAGGGCCAUCGCUCAACGGAUAAAAGCUACCCUGGGGAUAACAGGCUUAUCUCCCCCAAGAGUCCACAUCGACGGGGAGGUUUGGCACCUCGAUGUCGGCUCAUCACAUCCUGGGGCUGUAGUAGGUCCCAAGGGUUGGGCUGUUCGCCCAUUAAAGUGGUACGCGAGCUGGGUUCAGAACGUCGUGAGACAGUUCGGUCCCUAUCCGUCGCAGGCGUAGGAAAUUUGAGAAGACCUGUCCUUAGUACGAGAGGACCGGGAUGGACGUACCUCUGGUGUACCAGUUGUCCUGCCAAGGGCAUGGCUGGGUAGCUAUGUACGGAAUGGAUAAGCGCUGAAAGCAUCUAAGCGCGAAGCCAACUUCAAGAUAAGAUUUCCCACCGCAAGGGUAAGACCCCAGAAAGACUAUCUGGUUGAUAGGUCGAAGGUGUAAGU
rnacentral:rRNA from 1 species